UUCAAUCUCUUGAAAAAGAAAGAAAAAGAAAUUGGAAUGACGGAUGGGAUUCUUUAUGUGGUAAGUCUGGUAGAUGGAAAUUGAUUGGUCGUAUUCAACGCAAAAACAAAUAUAUGGUUGCAAUUAUACACAACUUUUUUUCGCAUAUGUUCUUAUUUUGGAUAUACCAACAAAAGUUUGACUAUUUGUUAUUUAAAUAGAAGGAAAGGAUGAGGAGAGAUUAAAUCUUUCUUAAUUAAUUUAUAGAUUAAAGUUAAAUCAUUGCUAUUCCUAUUGCUAUUUAACUGCUAUAAAAUCCACAAUUCUAUGAAUUUAGGCUUUUGUUGUUCACAUAAAAACAUUCUCUCCAUAGAAUAAAUGUAAAAUAACUAGAAAUAAUCGAAAUCAAAACUAUUUUUAAUGAUAAUGACUAAAAUAUAAGUUUUUUCAGUACCAAAAAUAAAAACUUGUAAAGUUAAAUGAGUAACCAUGAAAUUUUUUCUUUGUUAUGAAAGUUGAAAUAUUGAGAUUUUAUGGGGACUACUGCAGAUGUGGAUGGAUCGGGGCAGGAACACUCAAUUGGCAAGUAAAAUAGACAGGCUGGAGCCACACUUCCUCUUAAACGCUCUCAGGCUUUGAUCUAUGUGCCCCUAGAAGGAAGGAAAUUUUACAGAUUUAUCUUUCAAGAUAUGAUUGAAC
rnacentral:lncRNA from 1 species